GCAUCGAUUACUCAGUGGCAGAGCGGUGGGACAUUAACCCAUGCAGCGCGGGUUCGAGAUCCGGUCGAUGCA